rnacentral:rRNA from 1 species
CAGAAGAAGCACCGGCUAACUACGUGCCAGCAGCCGCGGUAAUACGUAGGGUGCGAGCGUUAAUCGGAAUUACUGGGCGUAAAGGGUGCGCAGGCGGCCCUGUAAGACCGGAGUGAAAUCCCCGGGCUCAACCUGGGAAUUGCGCUGGUGACUGCAGGGCUAGAGUACGGUAGAGGGGGGUGGAAUUCCUGGUGUAGCAGUGAAAUGCGUAGAGAUCAGGAGGAACACCGAUGGCGAAGGCAGCCCCCUGGGCCUGUACUGACGCUCAUGCACGAAAGCGUGGGGAGCAAACAGG